rnacentral:ncRNA from 1 species
UAAAUUUUAAUUUGGUUUUUAAUUAAUUUUAUAUUAUUCAUAUAUAUAAAUUUUGAUAAAUAAAAAUUUUUAAAUAAAAAAAAUUAAAUAUAAUAUGUAUAUUUAUUUGAAUUAAUAAUUUAAUUAGUAGAUAAAUAUAAAAUAUAAAAAAAUUAAGUGCCAGCAUUUGCGGUUAAACUUAUUAUAUAAAUUAAUUAUUUUGUAAAUAUUAUGUUAUAUUUUUAAAAAGAAAAAUUUUAAAGUUUUAAAUUUAUGAUAAAAUAAAAUUUAAAUAUAUAAAUUUUUUUUUAUAAAUUAUAAAAAAUUUAAAUUAUAAGUUUGAGUUAAAAAUUAGGAUUAGAUACCCUAUUAUUUUAAAUUUUAAAUAAAUAAUUACGAAUAUUUUAUAUUAAAAAAUUAAAAAUUAUGACGGUAUUUUAAUCUAUUUAGGGGAACUUGUUUAUUAAUUGAUAUUCCACGAUAAAAUAAACUUUUUUUUUAUAUAUUUUUGUAUGAUUGUUUAAAAAAUAUUUUAUAAAAAUUUAAUAUUUUCAUUAUAUUAUUUUUAUUAAAAUUCAAAUCAAUAUGAAAUUUAUAUUUAAGUUUAAAUGAGUUACAUUUAUAUUUUUAUUAGUUAAAUUAAUUAAUUUUUUUUUAUAAAUUGGAUUUAAAAGUAAAAAAAUAAAUUAUAUUUUUUGAAUUAGUUUUAAAAUAUGUACAAAUUGCCCGUCACUUCUAAAUAUUUAGAAUAAGUCGUAACAAAGUAAGUGUACUGGAAAGUGUACUUAGUUUUAU